UCCGCGUUUCAUUAAAAAAAAAAGAGAAUUUGUGGGCUUUUUGGAUUGAGAAUUUGAUAAUCCAACCCAUUACCAGAAACCCUAUUCAUCCCUUCUCCGCCGCACCUCCGCCGUCACUUGCCAUCGUCUGCGCCGGGACAUAACACACAUCCGUCGUGUGCUUCACACAAGAACCUCUCUCCAACUGCGCGGUGAUGAGCACAACCUUAGCACCGCACGAUUUCGCGAUGGAGCAAAUCACAUCGACGGUGGAGAAUCCUCCGGGACUGGCUUAGGCAAUGAGGAGAUCGGGAGAUGAGAUCGGAGGCGUGGUCACGUCGGAGACUAAUUGAGAGGAGAGGCCGAGGUGGAGAGACGCAUCGCGAAGGCUUUCACUUUCAGCAUGAGGCCUUCUCGCCCGACGCCAUGGAAGAAGACGCGAGCGCUGCGGUGGGAGACUCCGGUGAGCUCCGUCAAGAGGAGAUCCAACGGUGGUGGGUAUGGAUCGGUGGGAUGACUAUUAUCGCCGUUGAGAUUCUGCCGUCAGUCUAUUGUUUGUCGGUUGCGUAUAUAAACACACAUGACCUGGUGAGAACGCUAUGCUUAUCCAAGGGUCAAUCAACGUGUACCGUUUUAACACCUUCAGUGAAGGCUCGGUUUAUGAGUAAGUGUUUUUGAUGUCGCCGGAAGCAAUCCGAACAUCAAGUUUGGUGAUGCGCCUGUCUCUACUAGGUUCACGGAACAUACCGUCUUCGUUGGGCUUGCGGAAACGAGAGAGCCGAUCCAUGGAAAGGUUUUGGUUCUGCAAUUACAACCACCUCAUGUUAUUUGCCAAGACCAACACUGGUUUUCCAUGUUUGAAUUGUUUACCAUAUAAUGAUUAUAUAUUUCACUGCCAAGUAGCCUUAAUAGUUGUUUUGGUUAGCAGUAUUAAAACGAUUUAGGGGCAUUAAAACGAUUUAAAAAGAAGAGACCCAGAGUACUCAACGUCUCAUGACAAUCACAAGGAGGCACUCGACAGUCUGCCUGAGUGUAUUUGACAACUAAAGGCGCUACUCUGAUGUAGAACUAAAAAUGGUUGUUGAAACAAAUAUAUACCCAAAGUUAGUUGGAGGCAGGCUGUUCAUCAACGCUUCUUUUGGUACUCAUUCAGAUCCAUAGAACAUUCCGGUCAGAUAUAAAGACCGAGAGACACCACUGGCUGGCCGAGUAUCAUGAGUGGAAAAAAGAGAGGUUCAAGAGAUACCAGUGAAGUAUAAAAAACCCGGAUGGUGACAGAUACAUACUGCAAACCAGAGAUUCUUUUGCAUCUUGCAGGGAGAUUGGUAAGGUAAUUGAAUAAGACAUGACUGUUCUUAUUUUUGGUUUACCAAUUUCAGGAACUUAUGAUCCUGAUUUCUGGAACUAGAUGGUUUCUUUUGUUUUCUUGCAAACCGAUAUUGUAAUAUAUUCUAGAGAACCACAGCGUUACAUGCUCAUUAGAAUAUAUACGAACAGACGGACGAGAAAGAAAGUGGUUCAAAUCA